CCCAGGGCGCACACGCGGGGAGGGCGCGAGGCGGAGAGAAGCGGCUCCCGGGGCGCGGGAGCGCGAGACAGAGGCCAAAUUAUUCUUGCGGGGGAGUAGCCGGGGGGGUGGACGGCCCCCGGGCACGAGUGGACACACUUGCACCCUCUCCUCACCCUCGUUGUGGCCCAGUGUCCAGUCCUGGGUCCGUCUGCCACUGCUGAGCACCGUCCGCCCCGUCCCCCUCCAGCCUCCCCUGCUUUCGCGCUGCUCGCGAGCCGCAGCAGCCACCUCUUCUGCAUGCCCAGCUCUGUUGGAGAAGGUGGGGACGCUCUACACAGUGCUUUGGGCACCUUCCAAAACUGUGCGUCUAAAAAGAAACCGGCGUUGUAAAAGAGGGCUUUAAAAAUGAGGGCGCCCUCGUUUUCCUUGAACAGGAGCAGCCCCCGUCGCCUCGCGCCUCCCUGCUGUUUGUCUCCCCAUCGGGCGGCGGGCAGGGAGGUUUGGAAAGCCUUCAGGAUAAGCACAGCGGGAACACUGGGCUUUCACCCGGAGGAGGCCACACACGGAGACAGGACGCGGAGACCCCCCCCCCCCCCACACACACACACACUCACACACGCAGAUACGUGCAAACAAAAAGAAAUCUCCAUUCAGUCCAUCUUUCAACAUGAAGCAAACACACGGCAAACAUUGCAAAAUCCGUGCUUGGCUGGCGUGGCCACAGCGCCUGCAGACGGGCAUCAACGCGGAUGCAGGCGUUAACCCCUUGUGUGCCGCCUGGCGGUUUAUUCCUCACACGAAUGGAGAAGCUGGGUUUUGUGAAAGCCCCCAGAGCAAUCAAAUGUGAUGGUGGACAGAGUGUGCGAUUAAGGGAGAGAAGCAGAACACUUCAAAUAACAUUUUAAAGGACGCCUGCAUUUGAAAUGAGGAGAGGAUACUCGCUUCCAAAUGCUUUUCCAAAUGCUGCGUCUGAGCACCGCUGGCAGGCACAUCAGCGAUGGAGACAGAUGCCAGCAGCCAGCCAGACUCCCACGGCAGGGCUGCAUCUAAAGUGGAUCCAGUGUGCAGGUGCCUGAGCUCCAGGUCCCCGGUGAGCAGCUGCCCGAGCUCCAGCUCAGCUGUGGUCUGAGAUCACUUCUCGUGAUUUAAAUGAAAGAAGAGGGCAUGAAGGCUGAGGCAGACGGAUUACACCACAGAGGGGGCCGCUGGCUGCUCCAGAUGAAGGUGAGAACAACGCAAGGUUCCCGCCAAAAUGCCCCGGGAAGAAAUUCCCUUCAGAGCCAGAAUCUGGCAAAAACUCCAAUACCGUGUUAAUCGCCAUAGCUGGUUAAUCGCCAUAGCUGGAUUCGAUCAUCUGCCCUGGAAAUACACGGGAGGCAGCUGGCUCGGGCACAGCUUUAAAAGUAGAAGCGGUGCACACUGAUCUUAAGUCCUAACUUCGAGUUACCGCGAGACCUCGCAGAAUCUGUGUGCUUUCCUUCCCCAAAUAUGUAAAUGAUAUUUAAACAUGUAUGUGGAUGAAUUUGGCCUGAGAGCUACCUGGAAGAGAGGCGUAUGUUUUACUUUUAGAUAAUUGUUAAUGUUUUGUCAAAUAAUUCUAUUAACACAAUUUCUAGAUAAAUAUUUUGUAAUAAAGACAAGCGGGACCGGCCUGGUGGCAUAGUGUUUAAUUUCGUGUGCUCUGCCUUGGUG